rnacentral:rRNA from 1 species
UGGUGGAGCGAUUUGUCUGGUUAAUUCCGAUAACGAACGAGACUCUAGCCUAUUAAAUAGUUCGCCGAUGCCCAAGCGUCGGCGGCAACUUCUUAGAGGGACAGGUGUCGUAUAGGCACACGAGAUUGAGCAAUAACA